rnacentral:rRNA from 1 species
ACGUAGGGAGCGAGCGUUGUCCGGAAUUACUGGGUGUAAAGGGAGCGUAGGCGGGACGGCAAGUCAGAUGUGAAAACUAUGGGCUCAACUCAUAGACUGCAUUUGAAACUGUUGUUCUUGAGUGAGGUAGAGGUAAGCGGAAUUCCUGGUGUAGCGGUGAAAUGCGUAGAGAUCAGGAGGAACAUCGGUGGCGAAGGCGGCUUACUGGGCCUUUACUGACGCUGAGGCUCGAAAGCGUGGGGAGCAAACAG